AAUUUGGUGCUGCUAAGACCAUGUUCCUUGUAAUCAUAACCACCGCUGUCCGCACUGGGUUUGCUCAACCGGUGCGCAAAUCGUCAUCAUCGUGCUUCCCUUUUAUGUAACAUUUCAUCAGUGCAGCCACUAGUCAUAAUAUGUUCCAUGUAUCCUCUUCACAAAUUUAUAGUCAUCAACAAAUUAUCUAUAGAUCCUUGUGCUCCAUAAACCUUCCAGCCAC
rnacentral:lncRNA from 1 species